GCCUGCCCCCCACUGCGGAUUGGGCCCACAACCUGGGCAUGUGUCCUGACCAGGAAUCAAACCAGCAACCUCUUGGUGCAUGGGUUGAUGCUCCACCACUGACCCAUGCUGGCCGGACCAAUACUUACUUUCUUAAUCAAAGCACUUUUCUUGAUAUGCUGUGAGACUCUGGAUUCAGCCUGAGAGGCAGAGACGGCGUCUAACCCCUGCUGACACCCCAGGCUGAGUUGGCAUUCGGUCCAGAAGCAUGGAUGCAUGGAACAGACUGACAGAUCUCAGAGGGGA